UGUUCAUAAAGAAGUAGCUAGCUAGCUGCGGUAAACAUGAACGAUGUAAAUUAUUUUAGACGGCAGACGCUUGAAAGUCUGCCUUUUGAAGAAAAACUUGGGUUUAAACUCCUCGGUGCCCACAAGACGCAGGUUAUAAACCAAACCUCAGCUGUCAAGGUCCAGUGGAGGGUCAAGGACGGGCCAUGAACCCCCGGCUUUCUGCUCCGAGCUCCAACCCCCCAGAGCCUUCGCCUUUAUCACAACACGGCCACACUGCUACUUCGAUGACAAAUGCAUGAGUGUGCGCAGAAAGACCUUCAGGCAUCUGCCACCAUGAGCUGAUCAGAGGACGCUCACUACUAACCAGAAAUGCUCAUCAUCCCCUUCCUCUUGCGUCCUGACCUGCAGCUGAACUCGCCUCACAGCUCCGAGGAGGCCACUGAGACGGAGGAGCAAAAUGUCAAAGAUGGGGUGAAAAGGCAGCAGACGCUUUGAAAAACAGUCCCACCCUGCAGGGAUGAUCAAAGAAAGCAGGGGAUCCAGUUUGACACAACACCUUCUCAUCUCGCCUCUAAAGGCAGCUCGCAUUGAAUGGACAGAUUAAAAAAACAUUGCUGCCAUGUUAGAUACAGACCAGCACUCACACUCCAUAAUUAUUAGCCCGAUGAUUGCACACGAGUGUUUUUGGCUGUUGCAUCUGGCUCUACUGCGGAUGAUGGAAGUUGUUGUACGUAUCCACUCGCAUUUUUCCUGGCUGUCAAAAAUUGCAUUCUGAGAAAGCCGUACUCCUCUCAUCAAGAGUCAUAAUUUACUUGUCAAAGCAGGAGUCCUCUCAGCGUGCGGGAGGCUCCCCGGGGUUAUAAUUGCGAGACGGUUUGGUUCUCCUGAAAUGCCUCCAGUCAAGAUGGAGCACAGGCCUGCUCGUCAGGCUUUGUGUACUCUUUUCCUUUUAAAAGUAGCCAUUUACACAGAAAAUUGUAAAACCACGGCUAAAAAAAGAAAAAAAAACAUUUGACUAGCUUCACUACACUUUCACCAUCAACUCCUUGUCAUCAGUGACUUUCAACACUUACUUUGGUGCUCAGAGAGUCGUCUCUACGCUGACACAAGGUCCCCAUCUUGUGGAGAGAGCAUGAAAGUCUUUCCUUUACGGGUGGAGACGGUGCAGGUCAGCUAAGGUUCAUCUGGUUUAAUUUGCAGCUCAGGCAGAAUUUUAUGUUGUUUUUUUUUAAAGCAAUGAAUAAGUAAUUUAUAUGAAUCAUUCAGAAAGCAGGAUGUUAAAUUCAGUAAUUGUCAUUUAUUUUACUUAAGUACAAUUUUGAAGUACUUCUAUUACUACUACUUGUAUUUCUAUUUUCUGCUGCUUUAUACGUAUAGUCCACUACAUAUCAGAGGGAAUUAUUGUACUUA